CGAAGCCAGACAAAACAUUCAGGUUCUGCACUGAUUUUCGCAAGCUAAAUGCUGUAACGAAACCAGAUUCUUUCCCGCUGCCUCGUAUGGAGGAUUGCGUUGACCAAGUGGGCCACGCCGCAUUUGUGAGUAAAUUUGACCUGUUGAAAGGAUAUUGGCAGGUUCCGCUGUCAGAGCGUGCACGUGACCUGUCUGCAUUUAUUACACCAAAUGGUCUCUUCUCGUAUAAUGUUAUGCCUUUUGGUUUAAGAAACGCUCCUGCCACGUUCCAGAGGCUCAUGACCAGAGUCUUGGGGGACUUGGAGGGGUGCACUGUGUAUUUGGACGACGUGGUGGUGGUUUCAGACUCGUGGCCGUCUCAUGUGGAGCGUGUCCGUGCGUUGUUCCUGCGCUUGGCUGAGGCGCGCCUGACCAUCAACCUCGCCAAGUGCGAAUUUGCACGGGCCACGGCGUUUGAGAGGAUAAAGUCUCUGCUGUGUGAAGCACCGGUCCUGGCCGCUCCGAGGUCUGACCGACCUUUUGUGCUUCAAGUCGACGCUAGUCACAUCGGAGUAGGUGGCGUUUUGUUGCAAGCCAAUGAGUUGGGUUUGGAAAAACCAGUCUGUUUCUUUUCCAAGAAAUUUAACUCAUAUCAAUUGAACUAUUCAACGAUUGAAAAGGAGGCACUGGCCUUAGUUUGGGCUCUGAGAAACUUUGAAGUGUACUUGGGCUCUGGAGCGGUACCCGUAGUGGUGUACACUGACCACAACCCACUUCUGUUUUUGAACUCGCUGCAAUGUCCUAACCAGCGUCUGAUACGUUGGUCGUUAUUUCUACAGUCACAUUGGCUUGAUAUUAGACACAUAAAGGGUGCGGAAAACGUCGUAGCCGACGCACUGUCUCGCGUUCCUCAAGAUUGAGGUUUGAGCUAAGACUUUAUUGCUGUUAUGAUGUUGUCCUGUUGCGCUCCUGUUCCCUCUUCUGUCAUCCUUCCCUCUUAAAUUGCUUCCCACUGGUACCAGGUUGCUGAGGUGGGGGUGUGGAAGAUGCGCGUAGUGAGCUGUGUGGUUCUCAACAGCAGCUGGUGUUCCUGUCCUCGGAUGUGUGUGCCCUUGUGUGUGUGCCUUAAACAUCGUAAACUCUAUACGUGUAAAAAAAAAAAAAAAAAAAAUAAGUAGAAUGUAUAUAUUUGUGAAGAAAACAAACUUUAUAGUAGGUAGAAUGUGUAGCCUAUAUAUUUGCAAAGUAAAAAAAAAUAAUGAGGUUUAAUAAUGAGGGAGCCAUUGUCGAGUUCGGGGUUGGGCCCCGUUUUUCAGGGAGGGGGGUGUGACGGCCUCCUGCCUGUGGAUGUGUGUAUGCGUGUAUGGUGGCCUCUGCUUUGUCAAGCUGCAGGUGAUGAGCUGGUGGGUGUGGCCAAUUCCCAAACCUGUGUUAAGCUGGUCCUUCCUCCUGCCUCAGUCUCUUCCUGACAUCGCCUGGCUCCGGAGGGAGAGCGGUGUGCCGCUCCGCCGCAGCCCCUCGUUUUCUAUUGUGUUCUCUUUGUUUGCUUUGCCGUCAUUUUGGUCCCUUGUGUUAGGGAAAUAAAUUAUCCUUUUGUUACUUUUACCUACGCAGUUCCUUUUAUUUGUCCGACCAUGAGCCGGGUCGUGACACUAGGCUAACCAAUUCCCCGUGUUACAGCAAUGAUAGCAGCUACUGCAGUUGCUACACAGUUAAGUACUACAAUAC
ensembl:lncRNA